GGUUGGUUCAAAGGUAGUGAGUUAUCUCAGUUGAUUGCUUACAGUCAGUUACAGAUUGAACUCCUUGUUGUAUUCUGUACCCUCCUCUCGCUAUGGCACUUGACUAGUCGGGG
rnacentral:Y_RNA from 1 species